AGUGAACGCUGGCGGUAGGCCUAACACAUGCAAGUCGAGCGGCAGCACAGGAGAGCUUGCUCUCUGGGUGGCGAGUGGCGGACGGGUGAGGAAUACAUCGGAAUCUACUUUUUCGUGGGGGAUAACGUAGGGAAACUUACGCUAAUACCGCAUACGACCUACGGGUGAAAGCAGGGGAUCUUCGGACCUUGCGCGAUUGAAUGAGCCGAUGUCGGAUUAGCUAGUUGGCGGGGUAAAGGCCCACCAAGGCGACGAUCCGUAGCUGGUCUGAGAGGUUGAUCAGCCACACUGGAACUGAGACACGGUCCAGACUCCUACGGGAGGCAGCAGUGGGGAAUAUUGGACAAUGGGCGCAAGCCUGAUCCAGCCAUACCGCGUGGGUGAAGAAGGCCUUCGGGUUGUAAAGCCCUUUUGUUGGGAAAGAAAUCCAGCUGGUUAAUACCCGGUUGGGAUGACGGUACCCAAAGAAUAAGCACCGGCUAACUUCGUGCCAGCCGCCGCAGUAA
rnacentral:rRNA from 1 species